rnacentral:misc_RNA from 1 species
GGUCACUUCACCUCAGAUUCAUUGAAGCUGCUUUCAAGUUCUCCCCUGCCAAUGUCCAUGAAACAAGAUGGCCACUGGAAUCACCGCUCAGUAACUGCUUUAAGUCACUUGUUAAGUGAAGCGCAGUCACUGGAUGCUUGUGAAAUUUCAGUACCUUGUGAAGAAUCAAUCGGUACUCUGCUACCUUAUUGUCGAGAUUCAGACCAACCAUGCUACUACCAGUAGAUUUGGUCUGAGAAACAGGGUUGGAGCAAUGAACCA